GGCCUCGUAGCUCAGUUGGUAGAGCAUUGGACUAGUAUCCCAAAGGUCGCGGGUUCGAUUCCCACAGUGGUCA
rnacentral:tRNA from 1 species